rnacentral:rRNA from 1 species
UACGUAGGGUGCGAGCGUUGUCCGGAAUUAUUGGGCGUAAAGAGCUCGUAGGCGGUUUUGUUGCGUCGGCCGUGAAAACCUGCAGCUUAACUGUGGGCCUGCGGCCGAUACGGGCAGACUUGAGUUCGGUAGGGGAGACUGGAAUUCCUGGUGUAGCGGUGAAAUGCGCAGAUAUCAGGAGGAACACCGGUGGCGAAGGCGGGUCUCUGGGCCGAUACUGACGCUGAGGAGCGAAAGCGUGGGGAGCGAACAGG